UACGUAGGGUGCAAGCGUUAAUCGGAAUUACUGGGCGUAAAGCGUGCGCAGGCGGUUUUGUAAGUCUGAUGUGAAAUCCCCGGGCUCAACCUGGGAAUUGCAUUGGAGACUGCAAGGCUAGAAUCUGGCAGAGGGGGGUAGAAUUCCACGUGUGAGCAGUGAAAUGCGUAGAUAUGUGGAGGAACACCGAUGGGCGAAGGCAGCCCCCUGGGUCAAGAUUGACGCUCCAUGCACGAAAGCGUGGGGAGCAAACAGG
rnacentral:rRNA from 1 species